rnacentral:tmRNA from 1 species
GGGGGCGUUACGGAUUCGACGACGGUAACAAAACCUGCGGUGCAUGCCGUGAUGGUGGCCAAUCACGUAAAUCCAAAGCUGCAAACUAUUAGUUGCCAAUGACGACAACUACGAGGUAGCGCUGGCUGCGUAAGCAGUCAUCAAUACUUCAUCUAGUGGCUUCGGCCCUAGCGGUCUUUAGCAAGGUUCCAGCCCCGCGUUACUGACUGUCAUAUAGAACUGGAUCGCAGCAAAGCAGGCUCCGGGCCGCGCUGCUAAACAUUUACGGAGAUCGCCAAUCACGUCCUGCCCGUUGGGCUGUGUGCGGCUAGACUAAUCAACGGGAUCUAAGCAUGUAGAGCCAAAGGCAGAGUGCUGGCGGACGCGGGUUCAACUCCCGCCGCCUCCACCA